AAUCCCAAGCAGGCUCCGCACUGUUAGUGCAGAGCUCAGUGCGGGGCUCCAACUCACGAACUGUGAGAUCACGACCUCAGCUGAAAUCAAGAGUCGGAUGCUUAGCCAAAUGAGCCACCCAGGCGCCCCGGGAAUGGAGCUUAUUUCUAAAUUUUAUAUUAACUUGUACAUUUACUGGGUUCCCAGUAUUUACACUGUUUCCUAAUUUUGGAUGUGAAACUAAUUCCAAUGGGGGAAAACAUUGACUUGAUGAAGGUUUGGAACUCUCCUUAUGUCUGAGCAAUUGAAGUAAGUCAAGAAGGCCCAGCCUUGACAUUGACCAUGAGUGAUUGAGAAUUUUGCCAUUUGCCAUUUUGAUUAACCAUUUUUUUUUUUUCUGAUCCUUGGAUGGAAUGUGUUCUCUGUACAGUUCAUGUGAGCUGAUCAUUUUGGCUGGAACACUAGGAACACAUUUCCUAGUGUUUAUGGGAAUCAUUAAAAAAAUAAUUCCAGAAAUUAGGGUACCCGCUAUUUGUGGGUUUGCUUAUCACGUGGCUCUGAUGCCUAAAAAGCAGCCAGAAGGAAAAGAAAAUACCAUGCCAUGAUGAGGCUGCCUAAAUACCUUGUGGCUUUAGACUUUGCCCUAGGUAGGAAUUCUUCUAUUUUUGAUCAGAGUUGCCAAGUGAUCUCAGCUUCAUCCACGUACAGGUAAUAGGGCAUCAAUACACAUACAGAUUCUCUCAAGCCAAUGCCCUCCCAACACUGUCCCCCUCCCCCCACACUUAAAAAUACCGGCCAGACCAAAAGUGUAAUAUUCUUUUGGCAACAGCAUUUAGUAAGCCAGAUGGAUUUCAUUUGGCAACUAAAGGGUGGAAAUACGUGUUUAGCUUCAGAGGUUCCCCCAGACAAUGGUUACAGUAUGUUGGCUCUAGUGAGCUAAAGGAUUUCAGUGUUGGGCAUUUAAAAAUUCUGUGUUUAAGCAGCAAUAAAGUUAUGUCAGGCAGACAAAAGCCAUCAAACCCUCAGCUAAGUCCUCAACUCCCUUUCUCAUACUGCUGGAGGUAAGCAUUUAAGGCACAUUCUGAGUGAAAGAUGCAGUGUUUACAAUUUCAUGUUUAAUUUCCUGGCUGUUUAUCAGCUAAAGCAACUCUUGUAAGCUAAAUUUCGCUUCUAGUCUUUCACAGUAGCUGAUAAGUCAGAGGGGAGGAAGAAGCACCCGGCAGCUCAGGGCCAUGAAUUGUGGCUCUCUCACCUCUAAAUUUUAUCCGAGCAGCACACUCCGAGAAUGAGCUGUUCGUGCUAUGGAUCUCUGAAGUCACUGAAAAACAUGCCAUCUAACCAGAGCUGUCUGCAUGUGAAGGAUUUCCCUGGAAAAUCACUCUUCUCUCACAGCGAAGGAGACAAAAGAGGGCACGAUGAAAGAGCAGUACUAGCUUGUGUGCGCCUGUCUGCUUACACCGGGUGCAGUUCGCUUUUCUUUUCCUUUUCUCUUCUGCUCUGUUCUUUUCUUUUUUGAGCUGACAUCAACUUGUAUAGAGGAACAUUCAGCAGAUUCCAACCGGUGACAGUUUGCUGCCGACUGGCCACAGGAAGAAUAAUCAUCAUUUACUGUGCAGUUUUCACUGGUCAGUGGCUCUUGUGCCAGACUCCCGUCUUGGCUGUCUUCCUCUAUCAAUCAGAUAGGGGACACAUCGAAAACAGAAAGGCAAUCUGAAGUCCGCCUCGACACCUCUGCAAAACUCCCAGAUUCUGACCUUCAGAACCCUUGCAGUUCUGUUCCCGGGCCUCACCUACACACGCUGCCCGUCAUUCGCACUGUGGCAGGAUGGAGAUGUUUGUGUAAAGGAGACUCAAGUUUGCUAGACCCAAGAAGGAAACCACCAGACUAAUUUUACCCUCACUUAAACCAGAUUGAAACCGAGACUGAAGAAUGAAAAACUUUGCCAUUAACCAUCGAUUCACCUCAGUGCAAUAUUAUGUUACGACCAGAAUCGUUGUGGAAUUUGAAUGAUUUUGAUGGGAUAGUUAAUUGAGGGGCUUAAAUUAAAUUGAAUAUUUUAUUUAGUGAACAGUUUAUGGCCGCAUUUCUGUUUUCAUUAAAAGAUAUGAAGCAUCAUGACAACUCAUGUUAAACCUGCAACAAAUUAUUAAUUACAUUUGGGAUUUCAGUAACAAAUUUUGUGACACAGCAGCCUCAUGAAAUGCAUUAAGUAUUAAGAAUCAGAAAGAAUACCUCAAAGUUGUUUCUAUUCUUGGCAUUUAUACUUAAAAAAAUUUUUUUGCUUAACUUUUAAAUCCAGUCGCUAAAAAUAAAAACUGUUCCCUGAAAAAUCAGA